GGUGCAAGCUACUAAGAGUCAUCUACUAUUCAAGAAGAUUGUCUUUGAAACCAUUGAGAUAUUUAAUUAGAACUGGCUCACCAUUCUAGAGAAACAUUUUCAGUUUAUUUGGAUUAUUCAAACAAUGCUUUUGUCUGAAGCUAGGCAACGGGUGUCAAAUCCUCUUUUGGCAGGAUCCUUGGAUUAGGGAGAGCGCUCUAAACCUCUCUCUCCCAAAUCUAUUCUAUUUUAUAAGAAACCAAAAUAGUUCGGCGG
rnacentral:lncRNA from 1 species